GAUGAACGCUGACAGAAUGCUUAACACAUGCAAGUCAACUUGAAUUUGGGUUUUUUAACUUAGAUUUGGGUGGCGGACGGGUGAGUAACGCGUAAAGAACUUGCCUCACAGCCAGGGACAACAUUUGGAAACGAAUGCUAAUACCUGAUAUUAUGAUUAUAAGGCAUCUUAGAAUUAUGAAAGCUAUAUGCGCUGUGAGAGAGCUUUGCGUCCCAUUAGCUAGUUGGAGAGGUAACGGCUCACCAAGGCGAUGAUGGGUAGCCGGCCUGAGAGGGUGAACGGCCACAAGGGGACUGAGACACGGCCCUUACUCCUACGGGAGGCAGCAGUGGGGAAUAUUGGACAAUGGACCAAGAGUCUGAUCCAGCAAUUCUGUGUGCACGAUGACGUUUUUCGGAAUGUAAAGUGCUUUCAGUUGGGAAGAAAAAAAUGACGGUACCAACAGAAGAAGUGACGGCUAAAUACGUG
rnacentral:rRNA from 1 species